AUCCAGCAAGAUGUGGUUUCAUGUGGUGUGUUUGCGCUUAAAUUUGCAGAGUGCAUACUGGAAAACAAGGACCUGAACUUUCCAUCAGCAGCAGAAGCUGUUAAUACCAUGAGACUCAACAUUUCUUCCACACUUCUCUCAGAAUCAGGUGUCUUUUGACAUAUUUUUUAUUCAGUUCCUAUGUGGGUGGGAUACUAUGUUGUGUGUAAAAUCAUGCACGCACAAAAAAAUUGUGUUAGGUCAGCUAUUUUAUCUAAUUAGAAAUAUUAAAAUAUUGAACUUUGCAGAUGUGUGAAGUACAAUCAUGUUAGUGUUUAUGUCAAAUUCAAUUAGUGAAGAACAUUUCAAUACACCUGGCCUUGAUCUCUAAUAAAUAAAUUACACAUAACACAGCCCAAUAACUGUUGAGG